AAUUUCAAAUUCAUUUCAGGUUCUAAUAGAUAGGGAAUGGCAUCAGAUAAGCGAGUUUCGAUCAAAGUAGUAUAGUCAAGUUACAAAUUCAAAGCAGGGUGCGGUCUUACUUCAGAGAUACAAUCGGUUAUGCAAUAGAGAACUAACAACCUUGGCAUUGAACUUACUUCAUUGAAUCAAAACAUGCUUAUCGGUUUGAAAUCAUCAUUAUCCCCUAUGCAAAUGAGCAAUCCUAAACGCAAACACUCUAUAUACAAUCCUAAAAUGAAAUGCAAUCUACAUGACACUCUGAUUUUGAUGAAAUCAUUUUCUGAAAA
rnacentral:sRNA from 1 species